CUAGCCCUCCGCCCACUCCGCCUGGUCUGAGGUCAAGCCCCAGCCCGCACGAGGGAAACCACGCUUCCCAGCAUACACCGCGACGGCGGAGGCUUCAAACCGGCGCUUGGCCGCCGCCGCCAUUUCUGUAGAGGGGAACGGCGGAGAAAGCUGCGUUGAUGGCGCUGUUCCCGGCCUUUGCGGGCGUGAGUGAGGCCCCCGAUGGUGGGAGCUCCCGGAAAGAAUUAGACUGGCUGAGCAACCCUAGCUUUUGUGUUGGAAGCCUGCCGUCGCUGAGCCACCAAACUGAGGAGCCCACGGCCCUGGUUUCUGAAGGGGCACCACUGCCAAGGAGUUCUCUGAAAUCAGAACCUGCAGAUGAAAGUGACACCGACCAGAAGCUCAUCCAAACGAGCAGAAAAAAGAAGAAAGAGAGGAAGAAGAAGAGGAAGCAUCAGCAUCACAGGAAGACAAAGAGAAGACGCGGGCAGUCUGGCAGCAGCGAGUCUGCGCCGGACACUGAUUCUGCCGAGGACGGGCCCUCCAGGGGCAGCAGGAGGGCCUCCGAGAAACCAGGUCCAGGAAGUAACUCUGCUGCCGAGACUGGGCGUCGCCUUGUUUGGCUUGAGGAUGUCCAGGCUGUGACUGGAGAAACCUUCAGAACAGAUAAGAAGCCUGAUCCUGCCAACUGGGAGUAUAAGUCUCUCUACCGCGGGGAUAUAGCAAGAUACAGGAGGAAAGGAGAUUCCUGCCUUGGCAUAAACCCCAAGAAACAGUGUAUUUCUUGGGAAGGGGCUUCCACAGAAAAGAAGCGGACCCGUAAGCAUGUUGAACGCUAUUUUACAAAGAAGAGUGUGGGAUUGAUGAACAUCGAUGGCGUCGCCAUUACCAGUAAAACUGCAUCUCCCUCCGCUGAGCCAGGCCCCUUUAUCCCAGUGAGGGACUCGGACGAUGUGACUGCUCCUGUUGCAACCUGGCUGAAUCCUCUAGGGGUUUAUGAUCAGUCAACCACACAGUGGUUACAAGGACAGGGUCCUUCAGAGCAAGAGUCAAAGCAGCCUGACUCACAGGCAGACAGAGAGAAUGCUGCUCUCAAGGCCAAGGUCGAGGAGUUUAACAGGAAAGUUCGGGAGAAUCCUUGGGAUACUCAGCUGUGGAUGGCAUUUGUUGCUUUUCAGGAUGAGGUCAUGCGGUGUCCUGGCCUGUACACCAUCGAGGACGGCGAGCGGGAGAAGCGGAAGAAGUCCCUGAGGCUGCUCUUGGAGAAGAAGCUGGCUGUCCUGGAGCGGGCCGUCGAGAGCAACCCGAGCAGCGUGGAGCUGAAGCUCGCCAAGCUGCAGCUGUGUGCCGAGUUCUGGGAGCCCUCCGCUCUGCUCAAAGAGUGGCAGAAACUGAUUUUUUUACACCCUAAUAAUACAGCCCUUUGGCAGAAAUACCUUUUAUUUUGCCAGAGCCAGUUUAGCACCUUCUCAGUAUCAAAGAUUCACAGUCUGUAUGGAAAGUGCCUGAGUACUUUGUCGGCUGUGAAGGACGGCAGCGUCUUGUCUCACCCCGCGCUGCCUGGCACGGAAGAGGCGAUGUUUGGGCUCUUUCUUCAGCAGUGCCACUUUCUGCGGCAGGCUGGCCACUCGGAGAAGGCCGUCUCUUUGUUCCAGGCCAUGAUUGACUUCACUUUCUUCAAACCCGACAGCGUGAGAGAUCUGCCGACCAAAGUGCAGGUGGAAUUCUUUGAGCCCUUCUGGGAUAGUGGAGAGCCCCGGGCUGGGGAGAAGGGAGCCCGGGGCUGGAGAGCGUGGAUGCACCAGCAGGAGCGCGGUGGCUGGGUGGUCAUCAACCCAGAUGAGGAUGAUGAUGAGCCGGAAGAGGACGACCAGGAGAUAAAGGAUAAGACUCUGCCCAGGUGGCGAAUCUGGCUUGCUGCUGAGCGUUCCCGAGACCACAGGCAUUGGCGGCCCUGGCGCCCUGAUAAGAGCAAGAAGCAGACAGAGGACGACUGUGAGGAUCCUGAGAGACAGGUGCUGUUUGAUGACGUUGGACAGUCUCUCAUCAGACUCUGCAGACCCGAUCUUCAGUUCCGACUCGUCGAGGCCUUUCUGCAGGUCCUGGGCGUGCCUUCUGGCUUCACACCUCCCGCCUCCUGCCUUUACCUGGCUAUGGACGAGAAUAGCAUCUUUGAUAAUGGACUUUAUGAUGAAAAGCCCUUGACGUCCCUCAGCCCUUUGUUUUCUGGUGUCAGCAGCGUUGGCCGGAUGGACCCGCUGGGCUGUCGGCGGUGGACCAGGGGUCACGGUCGGGAGGGCGAGGACUUCAUCCGCAACAUCUUCCACCUUGUGAUGCCUUUGUUUUCAGGCAAGGAAAAGUCUCAGCUCUGCUUCUCCUGGCUGCAGUACGAGAUUGCCAAGGUCAUUUGGUGUCUUCACACUAAAAAUAAGAAGAGAUUAAAAUCACAGGGGAAAAACUGCAAAAAACUAGCAAAGAAUCUCCUUAAGGAGCCAGAAAACCGCAACAACUUUUGCCUCUGGAAGCAGUAUGCGCAUCUGGAGUGGUUGCUUGGCAACACCGAGGACUCCAGGAAAGUUUUCGAUACGGCGCUCAGCCUGGUGGGAAGCAGAGACCUGAAGGACCAUGAACUCUGUGAGCUUAGUCUGCUCUAUGCCCAACUGGAGGUGGAGACAGAGCUGUCGCCAGACUCCACGGGGUCCGCCACGGCCCGAGCUGUCCACGUAUUAACCCGACUGACCGAGAGCAGUCCCUACGCGCCCUACACGGGGCAGGUGUUGGCUGUGCACAUUCUGAAGGCCCGGAAGGCUUACGAGCACGCGCUGCAGGACAGCCUGAGUGAGAGCUGUGGCCCCACUCCAGCGCCUGUCCCUUCCGUUAGCUGCCUGAUCAGCUUGGUCAGAUGCUUUAUGCUCUUCCAGUAUUUGACUGUAGGGAUUGACGCUGCCGUGCGGGUGUAUGAGCAGGUGUUUGCCAGACUGAAGGAGUGUGUUUUCCCGGAAGGCUCUGGCCUGGAGGACAGAGCGGGCUCCCCGAGUCUGAGCAGAGUCCUCGAAGCGGUCACCCUGAUGCACACGACUCUGCUGCAGUUCCACAUGAGAGUCAGCGUUUACCCUCUGGCUCCUCUGCGAGAGGCGCUCUCAGAGGCUUUACAGCUGUAUCCUGGCAACCAGGUCCUUUGGAGGUUAUACGUGCAGGUGCAAAAUAAGUCCCACAGUGCCAGCAAGACUAGAAGAUUCUUCGCUGCAAUCACCAGGUCUGCCAAACCCUUGGAGCCUUGGCUGUUUGCAAUUGAAGCUGAGAAGAUGAGGCGAAGGCUGGUGGAGACGGUCCAGAGGGUAGGUGGUGGAGAGGUCCACUGCACGAUUCCCGAGACUGGCCUGACGCACCGGAUCACGGCCCUGUUCGAGAAUGCGCUGCGGCGUGAAGAUGGCAGCCAGUGCCCCCUACUGUGGAGGAUGUAUUUGAACUUUUUGGUCUCCCUAGGAAACACAGACAGAAGUAAAGGUGUGUUCUACAGAGCGCUUCAGAAGUGCCCGUGGGCAAAGGCCUUGUACCUGGACGCUGUGGAGUACUUCCCCGAUGCCAUGCAGGAGGUGCUGGACCUCAUGACCGAGAAGGAGCUGCGCGUGCGCCUGCCGCUGGAGGAGCUUGAGCUCCUGCUGGAGGGCUGCGUGUAGAGGAGCAGGUGUGGCCUCUGUCUUCAGAACAGCGCGCUGGAGGGUCCUGGCCUGUGGCAGGUGCGUGGAACAGUUCUCAUUGAUCCCUGAGCUGCACUUGGUGACGCUGACCUCUGGGGACCAGCAGUGCCGCCGGGAGGAGCAGUGCACGCUGUCUGCCCGUCCCAGCUGUGCUCAAUCAGGAUCCGCCCUGACAGGGAAAAGCAGCAAUUCCUGAACCUGAAUGAGGGAGUAUUAUGGGAAAGAAAAGAUGAAAAUGUAAGGCUGGAAUUCAAAGGCCCACAUCGCACAGACCUCAGGUGGACCUGUUUUUGGUAAAUUACAGUAUUGGCUCAAUGCUCAUUUUACAAAGCACACUUAGCACACAUGAGACAAAACCAAAUUUCACCUGGUCUGAUAAGUGCUGGAUCCAAAGUUUCUAUUCGGUUUGUGGCCAUAAUAACUUUGACGUCUCCUCUGGAAUCAAAUCCAUCCAGCUGGUUCAACAGUUCCAGCAUUGUUCUCUGAAUUUCUCGCUCGCCGCCAGAAUUUGAGUCAUAUCUUUGGAAAAUAAGAGGAAGAAUGAAGACCCAGUUGACCUGCUAGAGGGUAAGUACAGCAAAGACCUCGCUGUGACAAUACCUCAGCACUCUGUUCUCAGCCCAAGUAUUACUCAGCCGUCCUCCCUCCAGGGGACGUCUAUGGCCUUGACCUCGCUGUGGGGCUCUCACUGUGGGGAAAGGGCUUGCACCUUACGAGAAGUGUGCUGGGGACUGCCUGCUCCUUUACUCCGCUGCUGUGAGAGGACAUGGGGCCUGUUCCCUCUCCUGCAGCCCCUGAAGCCAGUGCCUGACCUGGGACUUCCUUCCCCCAGAAUCGUGAGAAGUUUCUGUUCUUGAAGAAAUUACCCAGUCUGUGGUAUUUUCUUCAAGUGGCGCAGAUGGCCCAGGGCUGCAAGGAACCAAGUUAGAACCACACCUCUUCCCAGCAGUUUCUGCACUGAAAUUGUGUCAUUUAUUCUGUCUCCAUGUUUGCUGUCUGACCCCCCAACCUGACUGCAUGUGGGCCAGUCUCCAGCCAGCCACAGCUCCUGCAUAGUUGUUGUCCGGCUCCUUGGAGAGUGGCGCCUAGAGCAUCCAAGGAGGCUGGCUCAGCCUGUGGCCACACAGGCAAGCCCAGUGACUGCACUAUGAUUUUUGCCUCUAAACACAAAGUCGGUACAAGAAAGUCUACCUUUUUGUCCCAAUAGCAUCAAUUUCAUCAAUAAACACAAUGGAUGGUGCGUGUUCUUCAGCAACGCGGAACAAUUCCCGGACGAGCUUGGGCCCAUCUCCUAGGUACUUCUGAAUAAGCUCAGAGCCAACCACUCUCAGGAAAGUGGCUGAGGUUUGGUUUGCCACUGCUUUGGCCAAUAAGGUUUUACCUGUUUUAGAUACAAAGUAAAAGACCAAUGAAACAAAACAAUCUCAAGUGACCUGUUACCUGGGAAACUGUCCUCACCACCUCCAGUGAACACCACACAUGGCUCUUCUCUAACCCAAGUUAGAGAACCAACCCCACUCUUACUAAACUAUCAGUGAUGGAGAAAAAAGGUGUGGGGUCACUGUAACCGAGUGCCAGGCUGCAGGGCUUCAGUGUCAGCACAGAAGUUAACUUCCAGGUGAGCUGUUGCCAGCCUAGCUCCUGACGAAGUGCACAGUGAGCACUGUAGAAAUUUGGGAAACUCCUCUCAUGCCUGAGGAGGCGGCAGUUCCUCACAUCAGUCUCCUGGAAGACCUCCCCUAUUUCCAGUACUGGUGUAUCUGUUUCCCAGGUCCAGCAAGAGCAGACAGCACCCACUUCGAGAACAGUAGUCUGGCCUCUGAUGGUGAGAGCGUAGGCAAUGGCUGGGCAGUUGCCUCAGACAGAGGCAGUGAGGGAAGAACUGCCCACCACAGAUCCAUAGGAGGAGGAGGAGGAGCUGGUGGUUGGCCAGGGAGUGGCGUGGAGGGAUUCACAGAACGGCAAGAACAGGAGCUAAGCUUGUCAACACGUGGCAGGGAUGUUCCCUUGGUGGGCCAGGCAGAGUGGCAGGUGCAAAGACUGAUGUUCUCAGGUGCAGGCCAGUCUUCUAUUAAGGAUGGCGGCAGACUACAAGGGUGGGAUCUUACGGCCUGGAAGCAGGCAGCUCUAACUGCUGCUACAGCCAGAAGGCCAGGGCACGAAGGUGCUGCUCCGACAGUGGCCUGCAGAAGCCACAUGACCUUGUGUCAGGAGCCUGCGUUCCAGUUUCAGCCCUGUCGUCAGCUCACUUCUCGGAGCUCCUGGGCCUUGCGUUAGUCACUGCCUCCACAUGUCAUUUCCUGAGCUGGAAGAUGAGGGCCCACCAGAGAGCUCUUCCAGCUCCAGCCCUCUGGGGCCAACUGUCUCCCAGUCCCUCCUGCGUGGGCAAUCCUCAGCACAGAUCCAUCUGAGCAAGCAGCGCUCUUCCUUUAGAGUUUGCGUAGCGAUGAACUGCUAACUCCUGGACUCCACAAAUCAUUCAGGACGACUUACUGCAUAGUGAAUGCAACGAGAAGGGGCUCCAAAAAGUACAUAGAAAAAAACAGAAUUAAAAGAUAAUGCUGGGGCCAGCACUGUGGUGUGGCAGGAGAGGUUGCUGCCUGUGGUACCUUCAUCCCACGUGGGUGCCUGUUCGAGUCCUGGCUGCUCCACUUCCGAUCUGGCUUUCUGCUAUGCCCUGGGAAAGCAGUGGAAGAUGGCCCAAGUCCUUAGGCCCCUGCACCUGUGUGGGAGACUGGGGGGAGGCUCCUGGCUUCAGAUUGGUGCAGCUGUGGCCAUCUGGGGAGUGAACCAGCAGAUGGAAGACCUCUCUCUCUCUUUGUAACUGCCUUUCACCUAAAUCAAUCUUCAAAAAGUGCCUGGAAAUUUUGCAUCUUUUUUAAAGUACCCCAUAUGUAUUCAUAUAUUAAAUCACCCAACCUAUUUAUUCAGUACCACUGGGCCAGGAGAAUGAACACCAUGGGACAGUUUCUCAGUAGUAGCUGGCGGCCAGGCUUGGCCACACUCCACAUGUUUAAAAUGGGUGUUCAGGAGCGUUCAGAAAUGCUGCAGUGUCAUCACUUGCCAGGCCAGCAGUUACAACUCCACACAGGGUACCUGUAAAGGUCAAACAGCAUACCUGUGCCAGGGGGACCAUAGAGAAUGACCCCCUUGGGGGGCUUUAUUCCCAUUUCUUCAUAAUACUCUGGGUGGGUUAGAGGAAGCUCCACAGAUUCCUAUAGAAAACACACACUCAGGUAAAAAUGCCUUGCUGAAAUUAGCAUUAAUUAGCAUCAUCAGUGUCUUGAUUUCAAUAAAAAUAAGUCAAAAAGUCAUUGGCUCUUACAGAUGCUACACUUGAUGGCCAUCAGCAGGAAGGGCGUGCUGACACUGGUCCUCCUUGAGCUCCCAGCCCCAUCCCCUCUUCCUGAGCUCACUCAGUUUCCCUUCAGACUGAAAGCUAAAAUUCACCCUCUUCAGGUAAAACCAUACACAGGACUGCUGUUCUCACCUAGAGACAACAUGCCUAUUUCCCGGCUGCGUGAGAGGUCCCCAGGGGAGCUCGGUGACUUCCCCACAGCCAUCCUGACUGCCCACUGGCCCCCGGGAUCUGCAGGGGCAUUCCAGACCGGGCCUCCAGGUGAGGGUGUGCAGCCACUGCCACCAGACACUACGGUUCCACCAAACCCGAAGUCACCACCACUGCAAACUCCUCACAGAGACAGUUCCUGCAUCGGCUGCAGCUUAAUGCUUGGUAUGUGAGAUAUUAUAGGAACUAUCAAUUUAUUGUUACUCCAUUUCCUAAUUCAAAAUGAAUAUAAAAUAGCCACAGCUGCCAAGCUCUGAGUCUGUUCUUGGUCAGAUCAAUAAAGAAGCAUGCAGCUGGCGCCGCAGCUCAAUAGGCUAAUCCUCCGCCUAGCGGCACCAGCACACCGGGUUCUAGUCCCAGUCGGGGCACUAGAUUCUGUCCCGGUUGCCCCUCUUCCAGGCCAGCUCUCUGCUGUGGCCCGGGAGUGCAGUGGAAGAUGGCCCAAGUGCUUGGGCCCUGCACCCCAUGGGAGACCAGGAGAAGACCUGGCUCCUGGCUUCAGAUCAGCGCGGUGCGCCGGCCGCAGCAGCCAUUGAAGGGUGAACCAACGGUAAAGGAAGACCUUUAUCUCUCUUUGUCUCUCUCUCUCAUUGUCCACUCUGCCUGUCAAAAAUAAAUAGUUAAAAAAAAAAAAAAUAAAGAAGCAUGCAACACAACUCCCAAGCACCCAGAGGAGGACAGCACUCGGAGAACGAGGCUGAACCCCAGGCCUACCUUAAUCUCCUGGAUCUGGUUGUCCAACCCCCCAAUAUCAGCAUAGGUCUCCUGAGGGGCCUUUUCCACCUUCAUCACUGUGACCAGUGGAUCCGUGUCAUCCAUCAGCACCCCUAUCACAGCAUGCACCUAGCAGGGAGCACCACGUGUUAACCACAGCAACACAGGGCUCAGGGUGGAGAGCGCCUGUGUGGGACAGGCGGCCGCGCUGAGUGGAGGAGAGAGCUCUGCGAGACCAUCUGCGCACCUUGUGGUUGAGCAGGACGGAGCAGCCUGGUUCCAGCAGGUCUUUGUCCACGAAGGAAAGGAUGCUGACGUAGUGUUCCGACCCCACAGAUGUCGACACGAUGGCGUGGUUGUCAUCGAUGAUCUCUUCCAGGGUUCCCACCGACAUCGGGGUCCCCCUCAGGUCAUCCACCUUU